GCGAAAACUUUACAAUGCGGGAAACCGUGAUAAGGGAACUCCGAGUGCCCGUAAAAUCGGGCUGUCCAUCUGUUUAAAUAACAGGUGAAGAAAGGGCCGGGCAAGACCGGUGCCAGCCGCCGCGGUAAUACCGGCGGCUCGAGUGGUGGCCACUAUUACUGGGCUUAAAGCGUUCGUAGCUGGUCUGUUAAGUCUCUGGGGGAAUCUACUGGCUUAACCAAUAGGCGUCUCAGGGAUACUGGCAGACUAGGGACCGGGAGAGGUGAGAGGUACUCCAGGGGUAGGAGUGAAAUCCUGUAAUCCCGGGAAGACCACCAGUGGCGAAGGCUGUCUGCUAGAACGCGCCCGACGGUGAGGGAUGAAAGCUGGGGGAGCGAACCGGAUUAGAUACCCGGGUAGUCCCAGCUGUAAACGAUGCAGGCUAGGUGUUUGGACGGCCACGUGCCGUUCUAGUGCCGCAGGGAAGCUGUUAAGCCUGCCGCCUGGGGAGUACGAUCGCAAGAUUGAAACU
rnacentral:rRNA from 1 species